CCCCUUUAAGUUAAUUUUUUUGUUAUAUCCUUAUGGCGUGGCCCGGUAUUUGGCAUCCAACCAAUGUGUUAUGAUGUCGUAAGUUUUGGAGUCUUAUGCUUAUGAACUUUGUCUAUAUGCCAUUUCUCUUUAUUUUUUUUUUACAUAUUUGCUUGUUCCAAUAGUGAUUAAGUCUAUUAUACAAUUUUGAAUGUUAUGCCCCUAUUUGUGACAUUUUUUUACUUAUUAUGUCUGUUUGUUUUGUUCACACAUUGUCAAUAUAAUGAAAUUUUAUGUGACUGUCAUACAAUGAGAGGUUUGGUUAAAUAUAAAACCAGGCUUAUUCCAUUAUUUCAUAAAUAGGGAAAUGUCUGUUACAAAUCAGGAAUAUGACAGUUGUUUUUUCGUUUGUUUGAUUUGUUUGAGCAUUUGAUAAUGCCAUUUGAUAAGGGACUUUCAGAUUUAAAUUUUCCUUGGAGAUCGGUAUUUGCCUUACGCUAAUGAUUUUUUGUAUGUCCCGAUGUAUCAGCGGAUAAUUGAUCCCCUACCCACAUGUAACACAGACCUGUGAGACAUGCAAUAUAUAUUGGUAUGAAAUAACCACUUGAUACAUGUAGUAAAAGUAUGAGACUUUGCAGUGUUGUUUACAAUCCUAAUAAACAUUUUUGAAUAUGAAGCCAUCUAUAAAAAUCUACAAGGGAGAGGCAAAAGAAACCAAAAGGAUGUUUAAAACUUGGACAACGCAAUGGCUAAAAAAGAAAAAGACUAGCAGACAAACAACAGUAAACAACACACGACUAAGAAAACUGUAUUCAGAGCAACGCGAACCCUACCAAACGCUGGCGUGAUCUCAGAUGACCUGGAAGGGUGAGCAGAUCCUGCUCCUUGUGUUAGUACAAACCCGUUGAAAAGUGUAAUUCGGUAGGUCACAUUUGGUGAAAA
rnacentral:lncRNA from 1 species